AUUGAACGCUGGCGGCAGGCCUAACACAUGCAAGUCGAACGGUAACAGGAAGAAGCUUGCUUCUUUGCUGACGAGUGGCGGACGGGUGAGUAAUGUCUGGGAAACUGCCUGAUGGAGGGGGAUAACUACUGGAAACGGUAGCUAAUACCGCAUAACGUCGCAAGACCAAAGAGGGGGACCUUCGGGCCUCUUGCCAUCGGAUGUGCCCAGAUGGGAUUAGCUAGUAGGUGGGGUAACGGCACACCUAGGCGACGAUCCCUAGCUGGUCUGAGAGGAUGACCAGCCACACUGGAACUGAGACACGGUCCAGACUCCUACGGGAGGCAGCAGUGGGGAAUAUUGCACAAUGGGCGCAAGCCUGAUGCAGCCAUGCCGCGUGUAUGAAGAAGGCCUUCGGGUUGUAAAGUACUUUCAGCGGGGAGGAAGGGAGUAAAGUUAAUACCUUUGCUCAUUGACGUUACCCGCAGAAGAAGCACCGGCUAACUCCGUG
rnacentral:rRNA from 1 species